UAGCCUGCCAGCCUGGUAGGUAGUGGUCAGUCCUCCUAUGGCUUCUUUCUCCUGUGGGUCUUUAUUCUGAAACAAAGAAGAAAUAGUCAAAUCAGACUUGCCCUCUUGGAAAUGUGGUCCAGAUUGCUCUACUCCCAAGCUCCAAAAAA
rnacentral:lncRNA from 1 species